UCCGGGAGUGGUGGUGAACUCCUGUAGUCCAAUUAUUCGGAGGCUAGGUAAAGAGGAUGUUUUAGGGGGGUUGGGUUCUGGGAUUGGAUUUCCCACUUUGACUGGGCGUCCGCUAGGGGUUAACCUUUAACUUGGCCCGAGGUAGCACGGGUCGAGCCUGAAAAGCGGAAAAAUCGACCCAAAAGUCACCGAGUUGAGAGUUGUGGGAGUUUAAUUUCAACUCGUUCAAAAACAAGAACGGAUCUGUACCUAA
rnacentral:SRP_RNA from 1 species